rnacentral:rRNA from 1 species
GGCUACGAUGGGUAGGGGUUCUUAGUGGAAGAUCCCCCACACUGGCACUGAGAUACGGGCCAGACUCCUACGGGAGGCAGCAGUAGGGAAUAUUGGUCAAUGGGCGAAAGCCUGAACCAGCCAUGCCGCGUGCAGGAUGACAGCUCUCUGAGUUGUAAACUGCUUUUGUACAGGAGCAAAACAAUCCCUGCGGGGGUUCUUGAGAGUACUGUAAGAAUAAGCACCGGCUAAUUCCGUGCCAGCAGCCGCGGUAAUACGGAAGGUGCAAGCGUUAUCCGGUUUUAUUGGGUUUAAAGGGUGCGUAGGCGGCUUAUUAAGUCAGUUGUGAAAUCCUAGUGCUUAACGCUAGAACUGCAAUUGAUACUAUUAGGCUUGAUAA